GAUCUUCUCCCUGCUGUGGGCUCUGUUUGCCCGUGGCAGUGCCGCUCUGCUAGGACGUGGCCACUGGUGCAAAUCAGAGCAAAACCUGGAAUCAAAAUCCUUCCCAGUGCUCCAGCCAAACACAAGCAGCUCCCGCCGUGAACCUCUGGAGAUGCCGCCCAACUGCAGCAGGAGGUGAGGACAUUUUCCAUGGGAAGACUGCGGGAAGCCAACAGCCUCACAGUGGGGCUGGACAUGGCUUCACUGUGGGAACCUACUCCUAAUAUGGCUUAUACAGCACAAACUGACUGCAACUCAUCUAAAAACGCAGCGAGAAGAAACCAUUCUCCAAAAUGUCAGUUCCAUGAGCUGAUGUUCCUCUUCCCAGACAGAUGGUCUGAUUUUUGGGUGUCCUGUGUGGAGCCAGGAGCUGGAUUUGAAAUCCUUUCGGUCUCUUCCAACUUGGGAUAUUUUAUAAUUCUUCCAGUUAAAUUGCCUAUGUUAAUCAUGAAGAAUCUGCUUUUUCUUCCAUUGUGCCUGGAUGUUAUGCUUUUCUUUCCACAGGAGCUUAGUGUUGUACAGCAGCAGGGCUGAGGCUUCAUUCAUUCAGCCUCAGAGAAAACAAGGGAGAUAUUUCUUCAGUUUGUGACAGCUUUGUAGCAUGAAUUGCCUUGUGUUUUACAAUGCUCCCUUGCAGUGUGCUGUGCAUGCAUGCUAGCACUGAUAAUUUUUGGCUAACAGUGGUAUUCAAUCAUCAGAUAAAAACUAAUGAAGGAGAGAGCCAGAAGAUGUGAUGAUGACGAGGGGGAGGAAUUCAGAGUAGUAGAGGGGGGCAGCUAUCAUCCAGGCAGGGCUGCUGAAUUGAUGUGAGUGAUGAUUAACAUUCUGAUUCAUUAAGCGUGGCUCAUUGUAUGGCUUCAUCGAUGGGAAGAUUUCAGAGCUGGUGCCAAGCAACAGGAAGUUUCUCCAGGGCUCAUCCUACCCACGUUGUGCUGGUGCAGGACAGGUGGCCCUUAGGUGGCUAAGAGACAUGGUUAGUGGGCACGGUGAGGAUGGGUUGACUUGAUGACCUUCGUGUUUUUUUCCAACCUUAAUGAUUCUGUGAUUAAAAUAAAAUGAAAAUGGAAACAGAGCUUAAACAGGGCACGUCUGAGGGUGCAAGCAAGAGAAGAGUAUGGAGAGACCAAUGCUCAAAUAUUUCCCCAUUCUCAGUAUUUACUCAGCAGCCCCCUGUACUGAACCUCCAUUGACAUCCUCUCAGGCAGGGAUGCUGGGGGCUUCCAGCUCCAGCUGCUGUUACCCCACCAAGUUUUCAGGGAUAUUGCUACAGUUAAGAAAGCUGAAAUCCAGCACUCAGCUCCUCCAGCCUUCUUUUCUAUGUGCAGAAAUCCUGUACAUCUCCUGGAUGGCAAUACAUGGUGUAAAGAGGUUACUGCUGCAGAGAUGGGGAUGGCCACAUUACUCAUGUGCAGCCAAGUGCUGAAUCAUCUGGGUCACCUUAUGAGAUGCCAUCUAUACUUGUCAUACAGAUUUUACAGAAGGAAUAUUUCCAGGAUGUUUUAGGGAGCAUUAAUACCAUUUAUAUGUAUUGCUUCUUUUAUCCCUUUGCAUAAAAAGCCAGGUGAAUCUGGCUGCCCAGGACCUGUAAGGAGAGAAGAGUUACCGUUCAGACAUUUCAAAAAUCUCUAAAAUGCACCUGCAAUGGUCUUCUCAUCCAUCACCGUGCUGUUAUUUUAAGCUUCAGCAUGCUGGGACUUCCCCACCCUCCAAGCGAGUGUUGAACCAGAGGGACAUAAACGGUCCUUCUUGAGGAACUUCAGUAUGUUUUACUCUGUCCCUCUGAGUUACUCAUAACUGAGGGACUCAUAAACUCAGGAAAAAUAAUAAAUUAGAAUCAUAGAAUGAUUAUUUCCACCUGAACAUCAAUAAAAGAGGUGGCCAAGAUCAGAAUUCGGUGCUUUCUGUAUUCAGUCUAUUCGCCCCACUGCCCAGUGCCCAGACUUUGUACCAACAAUGCUUUUCCUUCAGAAAAUUAUAAAGAAAUAAAUAAAUGAAAGAGCAGCCGAGUUGCUCUGCUGGCUGCCCUGUACUUUUAAGAAGUGCAUUUGGUCUCAUGAGAAUGCAUCAAAAUUUUCAUGCUUAGCGGAAAAUAAAAAUAUUUGCACUCAGUUCAUUUCUAGAGCUGCACAUAAAGUGCUCCCCCUCAGGGCACAUCCAAGGAAAAGACUGGAAAUAAAAUAUAAAUUCUAAAUAGCAGUAAAAAGUUUAUCGCUUUGGGGGUUAUGAGUGUUCAGCUUUUAUUACUACAAAAAUCAAUUUACUGAACUUAGGUUUACUGCAAAAUCAAAAAAGUUAAAACCUGAAUUCAUUCUGCAUCCACAGCUUUGCUGCUUCUCACCUUUUGUGCCAGCGGUGGCCAGAGACAAGGGUUGGGAUGGCGAUGGUGAUGGUGAUGGGUAUGGCGAUGGUGUUGGGGAUGACGAUGGGGAUGGCGAUAGUGAAGGAGAUGGCGAUGGGAAUGGAGAUGGGGAUGAUGGUGGGAAUGGCAAUGGGGAUGCAUGAGUGACCUCCUCCCAGCGGUGCUGGCGGCACUGCAUCUUCACCAACAUCACUGUAGUGAAACCAGAUUAGUUGCUGGGAAGUACCAAUCUGCACAUUCCCAACAACGUAGUGCUGAUUCAAGUGGUCAAGAAAAAGCAACAAACAAGAAGUGGAAAAGUAAGAGCAGUGAUGUCACUUCACUGUGGCUGAGCUUCUCUCAGCACAAUGCAGCCCAUCAGCAAAUCUUGCAUAUCCCCCCUUCUGUUUUCAUUCCUGAAGUUUUUAAGGUUAACGCCAGCGCAAGUUCUUGCAGAGCUGGUGGAAAGUGGCAGAGUUGGGCCAUGGUGAAUAGAUUCUGUAAAUGCUUUCCGGUCCGCCACCGUACUCACAGAGUCCCAGUUCUCAGUAAGCACCAAAAGUUCUCAUAAGGAGAAUUUCAGCCUUGCUGACAAUUUCUGAAUGUGUAGCAGAAAAGCCUUUUUUUUUUCUUUUUUUUUCCCAGACUAAUAUAUAUAUAUAUAUAUAUAUUUCCCAUAUAUAUAUAUAUAUAUAGGAGCACUUGGUCACCUUUAUAGAGUGUCAAAGGAAACAUUCUGAGAGGGUGAAAGCUGCCAAGCGAAUCAGCAAAUAGCCAGGGCUAGCAGGGAAUGUUGGGUAGAACGCCCACUACCAGCAGGUUUGGCACAUGCCCCACUGAAAUAUGCUCUGACCCACAAGAGCAAGGCGCAAAUGCAGGCAGCAGAGUCAGGAUCCCAUUGGCACUGCCCUAGCAUUUACACAGUAGAGUUUUUAAUUGGGUUCCCCUAACAGCCCUUUGCCCCUCCAACAAAACAGUGAGCUGCUCAGAUUUUGGGGGACACCUGGCUGGUUGGCUCCACAUUCCAGAGGUCUCUGUACAAAUGAGGUUCUUCUGGAGUGAUGCUUGGCAUCUCACUGUGGUGAGCCAGCAGCUCCUGCCAGCCCCACAGAUUUAUAGGGGAGUGGCCGCCAGCAUGAUGCAAAGAGCUGGAGCUGCCUGCGGAGCCACACCCCUGCUGCAUUUUUCAGCUCUACAGCAGCCCCCCAAGCUUUAUCUGUCCAUCUUGCAAAAGAUGGAAAGUGCUUUGCAAUUUUUCAGAAGGUCAUCUGAUAACCCUGUCAGGCAUAAUGCGCCGUGAUCAGAUCUCCCCAGGUUGGGGUGGGGUGAAUCAAUUGUGAGCAAACACCUCUGACAGACCUUGCUGACAUGAAAGGUGCAAACUCACCAGUAAUUUAUUGGAAAUGUGCAUAAUGGAAAGGAUUAUACUUAAUUUCCCAUCAAAAAAUAGGUUUUCUCGGCAUGCAAGUGAGCAAACAAGAGCAUGAGUGAAGGCACUAGGGCUCAGUGAAUCACAGCAGGAGUGGGGUGGGAUGCAGCAGGAGGAGCAGUGCUGUCCCCACUGCCCCAGCACCAUGGGGCAAUCAGGACAUGGGGAGCCCUCACCUUACUUUCCAAUAAAGUAAGAUCCUUCCCCCUUGGAAUCCUUAGAGAAAUAACACAAACAUGCAGGUUUUAAGUCACAGAGAUGUUGAGUUCUGUAUCACUUAAAGAAAACCAGGAAAAAGGCUCAAGGGAGACAUUAUUACUCCCUACAACUCUGCAAGAAGGUUGGAGUGAGGUGGGGGUUGGCCUCUGCUCCCAGGUAACAGUGUUAGGAUGGGAUGUGAUGGUAUCAUGUUGCACCAGAGGAGAGUCAGAUUGGGCAUUAUGGAUGCAGUGGCACAGCUGCCCAGGGAGGUGGUGGAGUCACCAUCCCUGGAGGAAUUCCAGAGCUGUGGAGAUGUGGCACUGAGAAUUGUGGUCAGUGGGCAUGGUUGGGUGGGCUGAGGUUGGACUCGAUGACUUUAGAGCUCUUUUCCAGCCUUAUUGAUUCUAUGAACUGAAGAAUCUUUGGUUGCCAACACUGCAAAGAGAAAGUGCAUGGGACAACCUGGCAUUCCCCCACACUUAGGCUGUUUUCAUGGAGAGAUUUAGAUCCCACACAGUGAGUGUUUCCUCUCUGUAGAACCCAACCACAGCUAUCCAUGGCAGCUCGCAGACUGACUGCAGACUGCUGGCACAGCCCUAGGGGUGAUGCUGGCUGCAGUCCUGCACUGUGGGACAAUGAACAACCCCUGCCAGAGGCCUGGGCAAGAAGAAGAUGGCUCUUCCUGUUGCCCACAGCAUGCCAAUUGCUCCUUCCACCAUUAAACUAAAUGUCUAUUUAUCAGCACAGCUUUCACAGCAAAUAUUCCUAUUAACCAAGCUUUCAAAGCCAACAAGGAUUUCCAGUAAACACCCCUAUUAAUCAAGCUUCCAAACUACCGAUUCCAAAACCUAAAAUUACAGAUCACACAUUAUUUAACAGACCAGUGCCACCCUUCCACAGCAUGAGCCUAAGCCUCAUCGCUAACAGCGAUAACACCAAGCUGGCUGCUUUUUCCCCAUACAGAAGGGCUCAGGGCUGACCCCGCUUCCCUCUGGAAGGGUGAGCUGUGCACAAGCAGCGAGCAUUAACCAUAGGAAAUGACUGCCACCUCCAGCCCUCUGCCUGCUAUUGGAGCCGGCGUCUCCUUGGGUGACUCGGGGAACGUGGAAACUUGUUUUACUGCUUGCUUGUCCUGAGAUAUAAACAGUCAGGCUCGGAGCACAGAAACACGAGAUGGCAAUUAUCCCAGAGCUAUUAGCUGCGUCUGAAUAUCAUAGACUCGAAGCUCCCUUGAUCCACUGGAAUUUAUAUGACCGUUAAUGGGGACUGUAAAUUGCUGUCAAUGGGGAUAACUCGCUCCAUGGGUUUUUGGAGAGGUGGAGGGAGGGAGCGGGCAGGAAGACGGGAAGGUGCCCCACGAUGGACAUGAAGAGCUGUACAACAGCUUUAAGGCACCGCUGUCUGCUGGCAUAUAGUAGAUAAUAAAAAUUUGUUUUAAUUUAGCACAUAAGGAUAUGAUGUCAAAAUAAAAGGUCUCAAGAACAAGUAAGAAACAUAAAAAAGUCAUAGCCCAUGCUGUGAGUAUCAGCUGCACGUCAUAAAGAUACAUUAAUGGUGUAUUUCUUUAAAAGAAAUUUUUGUAGUUGGGAGUUUUAUGAGAAAUAAGUUUAAAAUAUUAAAAGUGGAAGUUUUAUGAUUGGAGGGGGAAAAGCUUCACUUGAAGGCGAUGGGAACAGAAGGAGCACAGAAGUGCAGUGCUGGGCACGCUGGUGCAGCCAGCUGUGGCUCUGCCCCGUGGGGACCCUUCCACUGUGCAGUGCCCCCACAGAUGCCAGUGGGAGACUUGUUUUAGUGGGAACAGAAUCAGGCCCCAGAGGUCAGAGCUACGGACACGACCCAAAGUCUUCUUGUAAAACAACAGGAAAGCAAAGCUGCUGAAAACAAACCCACGUGUGUGCCAACAGAAAAAAAUAAAAUCAAUGGAGCAAUGCUUUGCUGUCAGACACGGGUUACAGAGAAAAGCAAUUAAUCUAGGGGUUGAGUUGGAGUGUUGGUUCAUCCUCUCUGGUUCCGGGCUAGGAGUGACUAUUGCAACAUCCUGCAUGGAAUCACAUCCAGCAGGAGGCUGUGUCCAGCAGGACCACGCUUGGUGGGAUCCUCACUAGGAGAGAGCUCACAGCAGCUUUGCUGCUAUGGAUCACCUCGUGUUACCUCUGUUGGGGAAGCCUGUGGCUCGUGUCUGUAGGGAAGCUCCCAAGGAGUGUCCCAGGAAGAGCUCAGGGUGUCAGUGCAUCUCUAUAGAGCUGGUGGUUUCCAGGCACAGAAUAAAGACACAGGCACAAGAAUAAUAUUGAAACAGAUGAGAUCAUUUCUAUCGGUGAGUAGAAAAAAGCGUUUUAACCCAAUGAGUAAAACAUUCUUUCCUACUGUUCCACUCCUCUGUCACUCACUGGGAAGGAUAACCUCGUAUUUCCUUCCCCUGCCUUGCUGCUAACACUGCAGGUAUCAAGGGAAAACUCCCCAAAACAGGAGCUGUUGGUGCUGAACUUCCAAAAUCUAUUCUUCCAUGUGCAUCCAUAGAUGUCAAGCAGCUGCUGGUGGUGAUCACCCAUAGGGACUGUUUUACCGUAGAUUUACAUCCAGGGGUCUUCAGCUGAGACAAAGCACUGUUUCUUCUGUUUGCAGUAAUCUGUGCAGAGUGGUGUGAUCUGAAGGAGAUGGACUCAAUGGUCCUUAUGGAUCCCUUCCAAUACAGGAUAUUCCACGAACCUAAAAGGAUGGGAGAUGCUUGCUUGGGUCAAGGUGUGCACCUUGCCCUUGCAGAUAGGUUGCUCUCCUCCAGCCCCAACUGAGUGCAAAGGAUCACACGAAGAGUUUCACCAAACAGCUGGCUGCCAACGGGCCCUUAGGCUUGAAAUUACAGCUCUGGAGAAACAAGGAUUAAAGCUUCAUCCAAACCUGUUGCCAUCACAUAGACUUUUUUUUCCCCUCCAGAAUAUUAAGACAAAUACGCAGUGCCUUGGACACUAUAAAUAUUAAUGCAGAGUACAUUACGCGUGUGUAGUGUAAAUAUUCAUGAUGAAUGAAUAUUAAUGCCUUACAUCUGAAUGAUCUCCCAGGGCACUCACAGGGCGCAUCAGCCAAGAAGUGAUCCUUCCCUCCCUGGUCCCAGUUGUCCACAAGCAGCAAUGGUGAGCACUGCUCUAGUGAACUUUUUCCAAGGAACAUCCUUAAAACAGAAUGAAACAAUCCCAAAUCCUGGUCCCUGUCUCACAAACCCCUGUCAGAGUACCUGGAGAACACUCUAUGAACCAAAUCAUGCAUGAUGCUGGGGAUGGCGGUGCUCUUGAAACAAGGCUGCCACCGUCAGACUGCUCGGAGCCCUGUGUGGUCCAUUAUAUUUUAUGCUGGUUUCCUAAACAUUCACAGUUAAAUAAACGAUGAUAACACUUCAUAAACAUUUUUCUAACAUGCGGAAUGUUUGACAUGAAUUUCAGCUAUUUUAAAACUAAUAAACAAUUGUCAAUCGGAUGUUGGAGACUAAGCAGAAGCCACAGCCAUUCUUAUGGAACAUCAAAGGCAUAAUAAAUAUCUUAUUUUUUCAA